rnacentral:lncRNA from 1 species
ACACACACACACACACACCUCUAUACACACACACACACACACACACACACACCUACCUUUAUACACACACACCUCACACACACACACACCUCUAUACACACACACCCCUACCCCUUAUGAUCUUAAGCUAGAUUCACACAAUAUCAUCCCCGCUGUGAACAAAGAAAAAGGAACUAAAGUUAGAGACAGAAAAAAAAAAAUGUCUAAAAUCUACUCAAAGCAAAAUUGACUUGAACACCUUGGCCAGGCCUGUACCAUCAGGAAACAGAUUCAUCGUGUGAUUCACAUCUGUUUAUUUCAAAUGGCAAUUCUGUGUCAAAACGUUAAAGUGAAUGUUUGCCCACAGGAGAAUUUACUGUGGCUCCUCUCCAUGUACACGGAGUGCGACAUGAGCUAUGUCAGUUUUAAAUACACAAAGGCUAGAGAAUGGCCUGGCAAGCAGGUCCUUUUUUCCUGCUCCCUGCCUGGCAGACCCAGCGAUGAGUAAUGUCGCCCUGCACCUUGCUGCCCCAGCUGUUGAUUCUGUGUAGAAAUGCAUUGUCCUUGAUCCUUGGGAAGCAGCAAGAGCCAAGGGAUCUAAUUUAUGGCCCUAGUGAUUUUUCUAUCUGGCCCCAUCUGAGCUGUGCCCUCCUCUAGGCACCUUGGAGCCUCUCUGUCACACCCAGCUGUUGGCUAGCUAGUUUUCUCUUCUCAAAACUGGUGACUCCCGAGCAGUCUUGGCUGCAGUCUGAGCUGUGGGCCAGAGAGAAGGUGACAGAGAUUGCAUCUUAACCUGAAUUGAAUAACUUGUUUUAAACCUUCAUUUUAAUCAUUUAUUCAAGAACUCUUUGCAUAAACAUAAUACGUAUGUACAAACAUACACACACACACACAGGAGAAGGGUUUCUCACUGUGUAGCCCUGGCUGGCCUUGAACUCACAUAUUAAAAGCAUGUACCAUCACAUCCAUCCCAUGAUACUUACACUGUGGAAGUUUAGUGACAUUCUGCCUUGAUCCGCAUGAUAAAUUCACUUAUAGCUUAACCUUUGUUUUAGACCCUCUACCAGGUGUAGACUCCUGAGCGGGGAAGAACUGCGGCAAAGAUGAAGGCCAGUGACCCGGGGAGCAGGGACAGUGACACUUUAUCAUCAUCUCCACUGAUAGUUAGGCCCAGAAAAUUUCACUCUGAUCAUUUUUGUAAGACAGCCAUUGAGAAGCUCCGUCAUACACUUGCAGUGGUACAAAGCAGCGGGUUAAAGGUUAUGGGAGGCAAGUGUAUCCUUUCAGAAAGCCUUAUAAUCGUAAUGGAUUGGAGAUGGGCUGUCCCCUCGGCACAUGGCGCAGCACUAAAGCGAGGACCAAUUCUCCCUGACACAGGUGGAAGGCACAGCUCCUGAAGGAAGCACCGUUUUCUGAGAAGCCUUGGGAUCCUCUUGUUUUGGUCCUGAGCUGUGCAGACAAUUCAUAGCCCUACUGCGGGAAGGAUGUCAAGGCAGUGGGUGUCUAGCUGGAAUUCCAUGGAAUGUUCUAAUUCUCAGGUUUCUGCAUUUCCCUGAUAGGCAGCCUCCUAAGCAAGCUGUUAGGCCAGGCUGUAUCUGGGGCCUGGAGCACUGUUUCCUUCUGAGCCUCAGUUUCCCUAAGGGCAGGGUAGUCCAUAGAGCUUGAGCAUCUCUGAGGUCCUUCCCACAUGAACAGUUCUUUGGGUCCUAAUUCUUCAUGGCGAAUGUAAAAUCCCCAUUCACCAUAAUCACUGUAGCUUUAGCUGGGGCUGGAGCUUCCUGUGUGGAUUGAAAGGAGUAUUUUUAAAGCAUCUACAGAUCCUUACAUUUGGGUUAAAAUUUAAAAAGAACCGCGAUUAACACUGAGGACUGGAAUAUGGCUCAAGUCACAUGAAAUGAAGCUGCUAUUCUUUCAAAAUUCCAACCAUACUAUGUAAUUUCAGGCCUUUUUUUUUUUCCUACCUAAGAGAAAAUAACACAAGCUUGAAAAGCAGUAAAUAUGUAAAGAGAAAAUUUGUCAACUGAUAUUGGAAGAUGUGACCUGGGUCACACAUAAAUCUCUCCGACAGGAGCUGCAGGGCAAGUCAUCAUUUCAGAGGGGAAUGAAGGCCUGGCUGGUGUCUUCCCUCAGCUCCACAGUGAAUCCACUCUGGUUUGCUGAUUACGCCUCUGAAUAUGAUGUGAAAGACCUGCUAGCAGGGUCUGUUUUGCCAUUGUGUGCAGAGAGGGGAGCAAAAAGAGAAACUCCUGAAAUUGUGUUUUUAGCACCAGUGCCAUUGACAAGUAGUCCAGGCCUCACAAAGGAGCCUUAGAAUUAACUAUUGCUUCCCCAGAAUCACUUUGCAAAGCCCUGAGCCAUGCGUGGGCUUUCUAAUUGCCACCUGUAUGGUCCUUGCAAAGAAAGAUGCUGUAAAUGUUAAUGCAGUCACCAAAACCUGGCUGGGACUUGUGGCUGCCUCCUAACAAGUCAUUCAUCCUUUUUAAACAUGUGAGAAUCUGUCUUCCAUCAGAAGGAGGCCGGCCUCUCCUGUUAGUGGAACAACUG